AUGCAUGCAGUCGUACGCACGCGCUUCGGCGCGUGAGUGGCGCACGGCUGAGUAACACGUGGGAACCCGCCCUCCGGUGGGGGAUAACGCGACGAAAGUCGCGCUAAUCCCGCAUACGUCCGCAAGGGGAAAGCGCUUCGGCGCGCCGGAGGAGGGGCCUGCGGCCCAUCAGGUGGUUGGUGGGGUAACGGCCUACCAAGCCGAUGACGGGUAGCUGGUCUGGGAGGAUGACCACGCCACGACUGGGACUGAGACACGGCCCAGACUCCUACGGGAGGCAGCAGCAAGGAAUUUUCGGCAAUGGGCGCAAGCCUGACCGAGCAACGCCGCGUGCGGGAUGACGGCCUUCGGGUUGUAAACCGCUUUUCGGGGGGACGACUACGACGGUACCCCCGGAAGAAGCCCCGGCUAACUCUGUGCCAGCACGCCGCGGUAAGACAGAGGGGGCGAGCGUUGUCCGGAGUUACUGGGCGUAAAGCGCGCGCAGGCGGUGGUCUCAGUGUCGUGUGAAAGCCCCCGGCUCAACCGGGGGAGGUCAUGGCAAACUAGACGACUGGA
rnacentral:rRNA from 1 species